rnacentral:lncRNA from 1 species
UCUGAUCUAAAGAGCUCUAAGCUGAUGCCCUUGCUUCAUACCUGAGCUAUUUGGAUCGAGAUUAGCUUGCGGGGACCCGUUGUAAGUGUUCCUUCGUUCUUUUAUCGCUUUUCGUGUCCGAAAGUCAAACUAUGUAUAACUUUCUGCAUUGACCUGUUUAUGGUCAACACGAAGUUCGUUCGAACUUCAUAACGAGAGCGUGAUCAUGAUUGUUAUAGUCCCUAGUGACUAUACCUACUGAUUACCACGUUAUAUAGGCUUAGUGACGAGCCAUAGUUUCGGCCAAAAUACGUAUUCUUGCGUAUUUUCUAACCAAACUACUAUUGGGUGUCAAAACCGUUUGUUUUGAUACCAAACCUGUUUUCUAAACUUAGUUAAGCAUGUUUUAACAUGCUUAGCUCAUCACUUUUAACUUAGUGCUUAUAUAGGGUCGUAAGAUGAGCGAUCUAAACAAUCGCUUAUACUUUCGAACCCGACCCGUUUGGUCGAUCAUUAGGAUCCGACCAAACACAUUAGGUGACCAUAGUUGUAUAGCGAAUAAGCUUCCGAGGCUAUACCUUAUGGUCACAUUGUUUAAGUAGUUGUAUGAUAGGUAGUUUAUAUGCCUUAGGUAAAUUACCAAAAUGCCCUUUUUACGCCAAAAUUCAUCUUAAGCAUAUGUAACAUAACUUUUGACAUCUAAACUGAUUUGGUAACAAUGUUAGACAUGUGAAGGCAUAUUUUACUUAUCAUAGGACUAGUUAGGCGUUCCGAACGCGUUUUACGCGAACAACACGUUAAAGUAGCAUAAGCUACCUAAACGGGUCGUAAUGGGUCGUAAGCACUUAGGUUAGGUUUCAUUUUAGUAUGUGGGCUUUGUUAAACCAUAUUACAUGAUUUCCCAUACUCGUUGGUUUUACAAACCCUCAUUCUAUCCAAUCCUCCGAUUUAGGUCCGGUAUAUUAACAUAGUUACCUAUAUUAGGUGUCGUUUGAUAUCCGUGAUCUCUAGCACUGUUUGGUUGUUACUCAAGGACUACUAAGCAAUCUCAACAUGGUGGAUACGCCACUGGAUAUGAUGCAUAGGAUUUAUCAAGAUACACUUAGGCGGACUUGGGCCUUAGUGACAAUAAAAGAUGCAAGACUAGUUAUUUAUGUUAUAUUUCUUUGAUUGUCAAGACAUUGUAACUCUUUUAUUCAAUAAAACAAUAUUUCAGU